rnacentral:rRNA from 1 species
GACGAACGCUGGCGGCGUGCUUAACACAUGUAAGUCGAGCGGAGCGGCGAACGGGUGAGUAACGCGUGAGUAAAUGCCCCCCUCUCUGGGAUAACAGUUGGAAACGGCUGCUAAUACCGGAUAGUGGGGGAUGACUCGCGUACUAUCAGCUUGUUGGUGGGGUAGUGGCCUACCAAGGCGACGACGGGUAGCAGGCCUGAGAGGGCGACCGGCCACAUUGGUCUGAGUGACGGCCCGAACUCCUACGGGAGGCAGCAGGGGGGAAUAUUGCAAAAUGGGGGAAACCCUGAUGCAGAGCCGCCGCGUUCGGGAUGACGGCCUUCGGGUGGGAAACCGCUUUCAGCCAUGACGCGGUAGUGGCAGAAGAAGCACCGGCUAACUACGUGCCAGCAGCCGCGGUAAUAC